rnacentral:tRNA from 1 species
UUCUCAUUAGUAUAGUGGUGAGUAUUCCCACCUGUCACGUGGGAGACCAGGGUUCGAUUCCCUGAUAAAAUU